rnacentral:rRNA from 1 species
GAUGAACGCUGGCGGCGUGCCUAAUACAUGCAAGUCGAGCGAACAGAUGAGGAGCUUGCUCCUCUGACGUUAGCGGCGGACGGGUGAGUAACACGUGGAUAACCUACCUAUAAGACUGGGAUAACUUCGGGAAACCGGAGCUAAUACCGGAUAAUAUAUUGAACCGCAUGGUUCAAUAGUGAAAGACGGUUUUGCUGUCACUGAUAGAUGGAUCCGCGCCGCAUUAGCUAGUUGGUAAGGUAACGGCUUACCAAGGCAACGAUGCGUAGCCGACCUGAGAGGGUGAUCGGCCACACUGGAACUGAGACACGGUCCAGACUCCUACGGGAGGCAGCAGUAGGGAAUCUUCCGCAAUGGGCGAAAGCCUGACGGAGCAACGCCGCGGGAGUGAUGAAGGUCUUCGGAUCGUAAAACUCUGUUAUUAGGGAAGAACAAAUGUGUAAGUAACUAUGCACGUCUUGACGGUACCUAAUCAGAAAGCCACGGCUAACUACGUG